rnacentral:rRNA from 1 species
AAUGGGUAUGAUGUAGCGGUUGCCUAACGGAACCGUUGCGUUGAAUGUUGGUCGAAAGUGGGCCAUUUUUGGUAAGCAGAACUGGCGCUGCGGGAUGAACCGAACGCGGAGUUAAGGUGCCUAACUAUUCGCUCAUGAGACCCCAUAAAAGGUGUUGGUUGAUAUAGACAGCAGGACGGUGGACAUGGAAGUCGUAAACCGCUAAGGAGUGUGUAACAACUCACCUGCCGAAUCAACUAGCCCUGAAAAUGGAUGGCGCUCUAGCGAGUGACCUAUACUUCGCCGUUGCUGGCUUUUUUUUCGGAAACAGGCCGUAACGUGUAAGAGGGUCGUAGCGAUUUGCGUUGAAGGUUUAAGGCGUGAGCCUAGCUGGAGCAGUCGCUAGUGCAGAUCUUGGUGGUAGUAGCAAAUAUUCAAGUGAGAUCCUUGAAGACUGAAGUGAAAAAGGUUUCCACGUGAACAGCAGUUGAAUGUGGGUCAGUCGGUCCUAAGCAAACGGCAAACGCCGUAACGAAAUGUGAGGUUGACUAUUUUCGAAUGGUUCCUCAUUCCUUGCGAAAGGGAAGUCUGUUAAUAUUCAGACACUAUACUCAGAGAUGUUGAAUCGGUUUCGGCCGGAUUGACUGGGGCGGUAACGCAAAUGAACUCGCAGACGUUGCAUAAAGUUCGGGCCAGAGUUCUCUUUUCUGGUUUAGAAGUUGUGUCCAUGGAAUGGGUUCGUCCCGAGAUGUGGAUGAUGGCUUCGUAGAGCGCCGCGGUUCCUGUGGCGUCCCGAUUGCUUUAUGUGGACCUUGAAAAUGCGAGGGAACCCUAAUGAAUUUUGAGUAUAGCCGUACCGUAUUCCGCAUCAGGUUUUCAAGGUGAACAGCCUCUAGUCGAUAGAAUAAUGUAGGUAAGGGAAGUCGGCAAAUUAGAUCCGUAACUUCGGGAAAAGGAUUAGCUCUAAGGAUUGGGUUGGUCGGGCWGUUUCGCAAAGCUUGACUGAUCGCGGUCAUGGCUGCGGGAUGCUUCGGCUGAACGCGGACUAGUGCCGUGAUUGUCUUGUGGAGUGUUAUGGCUUUGGUGCGUUCUHCCAAGGACGUACUCGCGGCUAACGUUUAACAGUCGACUUAGAACUGACACGGRCACGGGGAAUCCGACUGUCUAAUUAAAACAGAGCAAACAGAUGGCGUUUAURUGCGUUGACUGUUUGUGAUUUCUGCCCAGUGCUCUGAAUGUUAAYUUAAGGAAACUUAAUUAAGCGCGGGUAAACGGCGGAAGUAACUAUGACUUUCUUAAGGUAGCCAAAUGCCUCGUCRUUAAUAAYUASYGACGCGCACGAAUGGAUUAACGAGACUCCCACUGUCCCUAUCUACUAUCUAGCGAAACCACAGCCAAGGGAACGGGCUUGGAAAAUACAGCGGGGAAAGAAGACCCUGUUGAGCUUGACUCUAGUCUGACUUUGUGAAGAAUCAUGAGAGGUGUAGUAUAAGGGGGAGGCUUCGGUCGACAGUGAAAUACCCCUACUUUCAUCGAUUCCUUACUUAUUUGGUURAACGGUGAUUGGACGCAAGUCCUUUCUUUUUGCAUUAAGCCGGCGCUCUCGGAGUGCCGGUGAACCGCACUGAUGACAUUGUCAGGCGGGGAGUUUGACUGGGGCGGUACAUCUAUCAAAUYGUAACGUAGGUGUCCUAAGGUGAACUCAGAGAGAACAGAAAUCUCUCGUAGAAUAAAAGGAUAAAAGUUCACUUGAUCUUGAUUCUCAGUACGAAUACAGACCGCGAAAGCGUGGCCUAUCGAUCCUUUUUAAUUAUGGAGUAUAUAUAAAGAGGUGUCAGAAAAGUUACCACAGGGAUAACUGGCUUGUGG